UUAGGAAUAUUGGGCAAUGGAGGAAACUCUGACCCAGCAACGCCGCGUGAAGGAAGAAGGUUUUCGGACUGUAAACUUCUGAUCUGAGGGAAAAAGAAAGUGAUGGUACCUCAGGAGAAAGCCACGGCUAACUACGUGCCAGCAGCCGCGGUAAUACGUAGGUGGCGAGCGUUGUCCGGAAUGACUGGGCGUAAAGGGAGCGUAGGUGGCGAUUUAAGUUAGAUGUGAAAGCCCGUGGCUCAACCACGGAACUGCAUUUAAAACUGGAUUGCUAGAGUACAGGAGGGGUAAGCGGAAUUUCUAGUGUAGCGGUGGAAUGCUUAGAUAUUAGGAAGAACACCAGAGGCGAAGGCGGCUUACUGGACUGCAACUGACACUGAGGCUCGAAAGCGUGGGGAGCAAACAGG
rnacentral:rRNA from 1 species